rnacentral:tRNA from 1 species
AAUCUUAUAGUUUAAAAUAAAACAUUAAAUUGCAAAUUUAAAAUUAAUAAUAUUUAAGAUUU